rnacentral:rRNA from 1 species
UAGGGAAUCUUCGGCAAUGGACGGAAGUCUGACCGAGCAACGCCGCGUGAGUGAAGAAGGUUUUCGGAUCGUAAAGCUCUGUUGUUAGAGAAGAACGUUGGUAGGAGUGGAAAAUCUACCAAGUGACGGUAACUAACCAGAAAGGGACGGCUAACUACGUGCCAGCAGCCGCGGUAAUACGUAGGUCCCGAGCGUUGUCCGGAUUUAUUGGGCGUAAAGCGAGCGCAGGCGGGUCUUUAAGUCUGAAGUUAAAGGCAGUGGCUUAACCAUUGUACGCUUUGGAAACUGGAGGACUUGAGUGCAGAAGGGGAGGGUGGAAUUCCAUGUGUAGCGGUGAAAUGCGUAGAUAUAUGGAGGAACACCGGUGGCGAAAGCGGCUCUCUGGUCUGUAACUGACGCUGAGGCUCGAAAGCGUGGGGAGCAAACAGG